rnacentral:rRNA from 1 species
GUGUCAGCCGCCGCGGUAAUACAGAGGGGGCAAGCGUUAUUCGGAAUUAUUGGGCGUAAAGGGCGCGUAGGCGGUGUUUUAAGUGAGAUGUGCAAUCCCCGGGCUUAACCUGGGAACUGCAUCUCAGACUGGAACGCUAGAGUACUGGAGAGGGUGGUAGAAUUCCACGUGUAGCGGUGAAAUGCGUAGAGAUGUGGAGGAAUACCAGUGGCGAAGGCGGCCACCUGGACAGUAACUGACGCUGAGGCGCGAAAGUGUGGGUAGCAAACAGGAUUAGAUACCCUUGUAGUCC